rnacentral:rRNA from 1 species
GACGAACGCUGGCGGCGUGCUUAACACAUGCAAGUCGAACGGAAAGGCCCUGCUUUUGUGGGGUGCUCGAGUGGCGAACGGGUGAGUAACACGUGAGUAACCUGCCCUUGACUUUGGGAUAACUUCAGGAAACUGGGGCUAAUACCGGAUAUGAGCUCCUGCUGCAUGGUGGGGGUUGGAAAGUUUCGGCGUUUGGGGAUGGACUCGCGGCUUAUCAGCUUGUUGGUGGGGUAGUGGCUUACCAAGGCUUUGACGGGUAGCCGGCCUGAGAGGGUGACCGGCCACAUUGGGAAUGAGAUACGGCACAGACUCAUACGGGAGGCAGCAGGGGGGAAUAUUGCACAAUGGGCGGAAGCCUGAUGAAGCAACGCCGCGUGUGGGAUGACGGCCUUCGGGUUGUAAACCGCUUUCGCCUGUGACGAAGCGUGAGUGACGGUAAUGGGUAAAGAAGCACCGGAUAACUACG